rnacentral:rRNA from 1 species
ACGUAGGGGGCAAGCGUUGUCCGGAAUGAUUGGGCGUAAAGGGUGCGUAGGCGGCCUGGUAAGUCUGGAGUGAAAGUCGUGCUUUUAAGGUGGGAAUUGCUUUGGUUAAUGUCAGGCUUGAGUGCAGGAGAGGUAAGUGGAAUUCCCGGUGUAGCGGUGAAAUGCUUUGAGAUCGGGAGGAUCACCAUUGUCGAAGUCGACUUACUGGACUGUAACUUACACUGAGGCGUGAAAGUUUGUAGAGCAAACAG